UCCGUAGGCGGGCGUCUAAGUCAGUGGUGAAAUCUUACAGCUCAACUGUAAAAUUGCCAUUGAUACUGGAUGUCUUGAAUUAGUGUGAAGUGGUUAGAAUGUGUAGUGUAGCGGUGAAAUGCAUAGAUAUUACACAGAAUACCAAUUGCAAAGGCAGAUCACUAACACUAUAUUGACGCUGAGGGACGAAAGCGUGGGUAGCGAACAGGAUUAGAUACCCUGGUAGUCC
rnacentral:rRNA from 1 species